UCCAAUGGUUCCUUGUCCAGCAAUUACAUAAGGAUCGUCAAAGGGAUGAAUAACUUCGAGAUUUUGCUCUUUAGCCAAACGUGCACAUUCUGCUUUAGCAAUGUCAAAAUUAGCUCCAUGUAAGAGAACAUUAGCGCCCAAUCUCUUAACGUUCCUCCAUUUGAUUUCAGGAGUAUUCUGAGGCAUAACAAUGGUAGCUUUUACACCAAGAGUCCUAGCGGAGUAAGCAACACCCUGGGCGUGAUUGCCAGCGGAACAAGCAAUGACUCCAUUUUUCAAUGACUGCUUAUCAAGAGAAGCCAUUUUAUUAUGAGCCCCUCGAAUUUUAAAUGAAAACACAGGAGUGAGAUCUUCACGUUUUAAGUAGACUGGAACACCGGUACUUUCAGAAAUGACAACACCCUUUGUAAGAGGAGU